GGGGAAUGUAUGUUGCCCCAAAAACAGCAGCAAAAGAAACAAUGGAGUUGUUUAAAUUUUGGGUGCUGUGGCGAAGAAACAAAGAAAUCUUGCUGCUCUCAUUAAUUGGAGGGAACAUGUCGAAAAAUGGACAGGCGAAAAGAAGCGAAAAUUGAUCGUGUGCCGCGUGCGCUGUUGGACGUGUUUCCGCUCGCUCGCUCGUCCGCUUGCCGCCCGCUCGUUUCUCUUUUAUUCCCAUUCGAGGCAGCCGAACUAUAAAAAGAAAAAAACCUUAACUCUAUGUGUUGCCACCCGGGUGGAGUGCAGGAGGAGGAGGAGGAGAACAACCCAUAGACACCACACGUAUAUUAAAAUCUUAAAAAUAACACUAUAAUGAAAAAAGCGUGUGUUUGAAGACUUAAAAUGAAUCUGUGAAAUGCUUACAAAAAGUGUAAAAAAUAAUUUGUCAAAUAACUUGAUGAAGUAAAUGCAGUCAACUUAAAAUAAAUUCAAAGGGUGUGUGUGUGUGAGUGUGUGCGUUAUGUGUGUGUUCAGGGUUUUAACACCUUGAUGCAAGCGUGUUUCACACAUUUCCUCAACCAAUUUACGCAAAAUAUUUAUACACAUCAAAUAAAAUAACAAAAAUCUGCCAUACAUUGCUGUGCUUUGACACUUUCCACGUGUUCGGUUUUUCCAGCUUGGACAGACAGACAUACAGACAGAGAUCAUGAAUCCCGGCGAGGGUUCGAGCAAAAGAAUUAAAUGCAAUCAAGCACAUUUAUCAAGUAAUAAUUAAGCAAAGCUCCAUAGAAUGGCUUUUGCAAAAUAAUAAAAAAAAUCACAACAAAGUGGCAACUUUGAAAAUGUUUACGAACGGAAAUAAAUAUCACGUCAUGAUUUUAUAAUUAAUAUAAUAUUUGUAAAAUGAUGAUUCAAUGAGUCAGCAGGAAAUGUUCGAGAAAGAAGACGUUGGAUCUGUUAAUGGGCCAUAAUCGAUAAGUGGCCAACAAAUGCUAUUCAGCUCGAUUGAUGGCACCUAAAUUCCAGAGUGCCAAAUUUUUUUGGGAAAAAACAGCAAUAAUCAUCAAGCCACCAAUACAGCUGAUAAUUUCAAUUUAAAAUGCAGCUUGCGUUGUCGUCUUCUGAGUUUAGUGAACCUCUCCUGUAAAUGUUUCUGCAAAAGCGACUCAAGACCGAAAGAAUGAGAAGAGUGUAGACUCUGAGGCAGUGGUCAGAAGCCCGUUCUCUUUGGGCUAGUAUUUAGGGGUUUCUUUUCUAUUUUUUUCUUUUCUUUUUAAUUUACUGUGUGCAUAAAUUAGUUAAGCACUAAUUUCCAAUUCCGAUUUCAGUCAUGCAAAUGUUAAUUGACCACUUAAGUUAAAACUUCAUAAUGAUCGUUAAUAAUACCGAGCACGACGAUCGAAACCGCGACCGCGAAGAUCGUCCAAGCCAGCGACAACUGUAACCAAAAGAACAGGUUCAAAUUGAACUUAACUAACCAGCCCCCAGUAAUCGUCUUGGGCUCGUAAAAGAUACAUAUGCUGUAAGACUAUAGCAAAACUUACUUAGCACAAAUUACACACAGUCACACACAUCUAUAUAUAUAUAUAUAUAUAUAAUAUGUAUAUAUAUAUACUCAGCAACAUAGUCAUGCGAAACCCGAGAGCCCUGGAGCCGGAGGCUCUUAACUGUGCAUUAAUGAUCUUUUCUGCUAGCUCAUUUUAUAUAUUUUUCUGCUUCUCUUUUAUUAAUACCCUAUGCCCAUAAAGUGGGUUAAAAAAGUGUGUGCUGUCAACAAGCCAGAGAAGACGCCAGAAAAUGUAUAUAAAUAACUACUUUUGAUCACACUUAACAGCUAAACAUCGUACUUUGAGGACUGUCCAUUAUUUAGUUCUCACAGCUUGGUGCAGAAGUUAACGGCCUUUUAUACACAUAAAGACAAGUAUAGGUGCACAUGAGUCAUAACUAUAGUAUUAAGUAAUAUAAUAAAUAAAGAAUAUGUAAAUACUUUAAGUCUGUUAAAUCAAACGUUUUGUUAAUUAUUCUUAAAUAGGAAAGCUUUCUGAGUAUUUGUAAUUAUUCAAAAUAUUCGCAUUCAAAACAGUGUUUGCUAAGAGUAUAAU
rnacentral:sRNA from 1 species